rnacentral:rRNA from 1 species
CAACUUUUAACGGUGGAUCUCUUGGCUCGUGCAUCGAUGAAGAACGCAGCGAAAUGCGAUACGUAACGUGAACUGCAGACCUUCGUGAAUCAUCGAAUCUUUGAACGCAAAUGGCGGU